GAAACGUGAUCUGAAGAGGAAGGGGAAAGUUCAGAGUGGUUCCCCCAGAGCCUCGCAGCCCUGGCAGCGGCCAGACAUCCGUCCCAGCUCGUUGCUUCCCUUGGGGGUGAAAAGCCCAGGAGAGGCAGCUGGCGGGGGCGAGCSGAGGCACCAGGAGCAUUGGGAGACUCAUGAAGCAGCAGGGCAGUACCUAUUGCUCCCCUACUUCCAUACAGAUAAGCCACAGGCAGAAAGUACUUUGCAGUCUGUUGCACCUGGACCUGCAGACAUUACUCCUUAGGGCUCACCUCAUGGACAGAAGGAGCUCCCGGAUUUGUGGCGACUGGUUUGUGCUUGCAUCCACCCAACCAACUCACCGAAGAUGGGAGAGGUAGCUGCCAGCUGAACUUCAGCAAACUGGAGCACGAGAGCCUGCUCCAGCUUUGACUAUGUCCAACCUAGCAAGUCACAGAGACAACAGAAAUAGAAAGUAAACUGGAGUAAAGAAGAGGGGGUAAAGAUGAUUGAGCUGGACUCUUCUCCAUGGUGCCAAGUGACAAGAGAAGGAAGGAGAAAAGGAGAAAGCAAUAAAGAAACGGGGAGUGAACAGAAGGCAAGGGAAGAAGUUGCUGACGGUGGAGGAGGUGUUCAGGAACGCAUGGGUCACCUGCGCAUGGAGAAGCAUGAUUCAUCUGAACGUGAUCGCUUUGACAUUCCUAAAGCAUGUAUGGGUAACGAAAGCUGUUCGGAGUGGAAGAGCUACUUGAAAAAGAGAGACGAGCUGAGAUGCGGGGUGGCCAGCCCGGAGGUGUCCUGACGACGGUAGAGCUGUGUGAGCCCAGGUCCUGCCUUUCUCGCUUGGCAUCGAGAAACUGGGAACUGACUGUGGGCAUUUGCACCUCAACUUUGACGGACUCAACCUUAUGGAUAUCUUAGGUGAGAGUUAUACAAGGAUACAGUGUUGAACAAUUGUCUUUUCAUCUUGGUAGUAAAUUCUGAUCUGUGUUAGAACAUGAUUCUGGUAAAAUCAACAAAUUUUUGGACCAAAUUAAUAAUAUUUGAUUCUUAAUAUUUUAGUAUUCUAUGACAAAUUUGCAUGUUUGGUCUGUCAGAAUCACGUAACUCAGCUUUUUUGAUGUAUUUUAUGGUUUGUUACACACUAAUGUAAUCUAUUUUAAGUGUAUAAUUCAGUAAUAAUCUCAAAUUACUCUUUGGCUGAACAAGAGGGAAUCUAAUAAAAGCAUAAAGAGUUUUGAUGUGAUUAAUAUU
ensembl:lncRNA